rnacentral:rRNA from 1 species
AAAUUGAAGAGUUUGAUCAUGGCUCAGAUUGAACGCUGGCGGCAGGCCUAACACAUGCAAGUCGAACGGUAACAGGAAGAAGCUUGCUUCUUUGCUGACGAGUGGCGGACGGGUGAGUAAUGUCUGGGAAACUGCCUGAUGGAGGGGGAUAACUACUGGAAACGGUAGCUAAUACCGCAUAACGUCGCAAGACCAAAGAGGGGGACCUUCGGGCCUCUUGCCAUCGGAUGUGCCCAGAUGGGAUUAGCUUGUUGGUGGGGUAACGGCUCACCAAGGCGACGAUCCCUAGCUGGUCUGAGAGGAUGACCAGCCACACUGGAACUGAGACACGGUCCAGACUCCUACGGGAGGCAGCAGUGGGGAAUAUUGCACAAUGGGCGCAAGCCUGAUGCAGCCAUGCCGCGUGUAUGAAGAAGGCCUUCGGGUUGUAAAGUACUUUCAGCGGGGAGGAAGGGAGUAAAGUUAAUACCUUUGCUCAUUGACGUUACCCGCAGAAGAAGCACCGGCUAACUCCGUGCCAGCAGCCGCGGUAAUACGGAGGGUGCAAGCGUUAAUCGGAAUUACUGGGCGUAAAGCGCACGCAGGCGGUUUGUUAAGUCAGAUGUGAAAUCCCCGGGCUCAACCUGGGAACUGCAUCUGAUACUGGCAAGCUUGAGUCUCGUAGAGGGGGGUAGAAUUCCAGGUGUAGCGGUGAAAUGCGUAGAGAUCUGGAGGAAUACCGGUGGCGAAGGCGGCCCCCUGGACGAAGACUGACGCUCAGGUGCGAAAGCGUGGGGAGCAAACAGGAUUAGAUACCCUGGUAGUCCACGCCGUAAACGAUGUCGACUUGGAGGUUGUGCCCUUGAGGCGUGGCUUCCGGAGCUAACGCGUUAAGUCGACCGCCUGGGGAGUACGGCCGCAAGGUUAAAACUCAAAUGAAUUGACGGGGGCCCGCACAAGCGGUGGAGCAUGUGGUUUAAUUCGAUGCAACGCGAAGAACCUUACCUGGUCUUGACAUCCACGGAAGUUUUCAGAGAUGGAAUGGUGCCUUCGGGAACCGUGAGACAGGUGCUGCAUGGCUGUCGUCAGCUCGUGUUGUGAAAUGUUGGGUUAAGUCCCGCAACGAGCGCAACCCUUAUCCUUUGUUGCCAGCGGUCCGGCCGGGAACUCAAAGGAGACUGCCAGUGAUAAACUGGAGGAAGGUGGGGAUGACGUCAAGUCAUCAUGGCCCUUACGACCAGGGCUACACACGUGCUACAAUGGCGCAUACAAAGAGAAGCGACCUCGCGAGAGCAAGCGGACCUCAUAAAGUGCGUCGUAGUCCGGAUUGGAGUCUGCAACUCGACUCCAUGAAGUCGGAAUCGCUAGUAAUCGUGGAUCAGAAUGCCACGGUGAAUACGUUCCCGGGCCUUGUACACACCGCCCGUCACACCAUGGGAGUGGGUUGCAAAAGAAGUAGGUAGCUUAACCUUCGGGAGGGCGCUUACCACUUUGUGAUUCAUGACUGGGGUGAAGUCGUAACAAGGUAACCGUAGGGGAACCUGCGGUUGGAUCACCUCCUUACCUUAAAGAAGC